UGACCAUGAGUUUAACGGCCGCGGUAUUUUGACCGUGCAAAGGUAGCGCAAUCACUUGUCUUUUAAAUGAAGACCUGUAUGAAUGGCACGACGAGGGCUUAACUGUCUCCUUUUUCCAGUCAAUGAAAUUGAUCUUCCCGUGCAGAAGCGGGAAUAUAAACAUUAGACGAGAAGACCCUAUGGAGCUUUAGACACCAGGACAGUCCAUGUCAAACACCCCUCAUUUUAAAGGACUGAACUAAUUGGGACCUGCCCAAAUGUCUUUGGUUGGGGCGACCACGGGGAAACACGAAACCCCCAUGUGGACCAGGAAUACUUUUCCUACAACUAAGAGUUACAGCUCUAAUUAACAGAACUUCUGACCAGAAAUGAUCCGGCAAUGCUGAUCAACGGACCGAGUUACCCUAGGGAUAACAGCGCAAUCUCCUCUUAGAGCCCAUAUCGACGAGGGGGUUUACGACCUCGAU
rnacentral:rRNA from 1 species